rnacentral:lncRNA from 1 species
AAUUCUCAGCAGUGCCCAUGUUUAAGCAAGGAUCUGAAGAAAAAUUAGUAGCUGGUCAGGAAACCAAAGGAGCAAAGGCAAGGAAAUAGGAUAAAAUAUUCUAUUCUGUAAGAAAAGACACAGACCAAAUUUUGUGACAACUGUGAAGACGUGACUCAGGACAGUUUGGUGACUUCACAAUGGUAGUAUUUCUGCUGGUUGUAUGGUAACACAGCAACAAUGGGGAGAUUGGACAGCACACGAGGGGUCUCAUCUGCCUACCAUGGAAGGAGUCAGGAUGUACUUGGGUCUCACACACCACAUGUGUAUUGGCUCAGCCUGCAGGGUGCUGGAUAUGCUUGCAUCUGAACAUCCACACUUAGUCCUGAGUGUGUUUGUAUACCUCCACCUGUUUGGUUAGCUCGACUCUCUGAUCUUUUUGAGCUUAUUUAAAGUUUGUUCUGAGCGGACAGAACAGACAUCCUGCUUUGUGCUGGCUCACUGAAAUUGUCCAGGUUGUUCCAUUGUCUUUAGUGGCACAUCUGAACCACACUCUGUACGGCCCAUCUAAGUGAAUAUGGUAGUGACCAUUAGACAAAACCUCUAUCCUAAUAUCAACAUUUUGGAGGAAGAAGACAGACAAAGAGCAUAUCAGGUGGUGAUGAUAGUCCUGUAACAAGGUUCUCAACCUGGGGGCCAAAUGACACUUUGACAGGGAUCCUAUAUCUCAUAUCCUGCAUAUCAGAUAUUUACAUUAUGACUCAUCACAGUAGCAAAACUACAGUUAUGAAGUUGCAACAAACAUAAUUUUAUGACUGGGGUUACUACAACAUAGAAAACAUUAGUAUUAAAGAGUCAAAGCAUUAGGAAGGUUGAGAACCACUGUCCUAUAGGAAAUUGUUUUAAUUGUUAUAUAGAUAAAUAUACAAGGGUUUUAGAUGCUGUGUAUAUAUGUGCACAUGUGUGUGUGUGUGUGUGUGUGUGUGUGUGUGUGCGUGCACACACACAGAGCAUUCUCAGUAUUAAUCAGUAGUUGCUCCUUUUCCAGAAGACAAUUGUUUAGUUCCCAGCACCCAUGUUGUGUGGCUCACAACCACGAACAAUUCCUGUUCCUGGGGACCUAAUCCUCUCUUAUGGCCUUGAUAGACACCCACAUACAUGUUGCAUAUACACAAUACAUACAUGUGCAUAAAUAAGAAAUUUAAAUUCUAAAUCACAGGUUUGCCUUAACUAUAAAAUUGAAGAAUGUCAAGGAUAAAGAAACAAAUACUAAAGUUAGCAGAAAUAGACUCAGAGUCAACACUCAGAGCACUCAGUGGAAGAGAGCAGACUUGUCAUACUGAUGGAGGAAGACUGUCCUGUGUUCCUGAGAUGAAAGGACAUCCUCAUGGGAGACAUGACAGAAAGAAAUUAAGGAAGCCAAGCUGUGUUAGCACUGUGCGCAACUGGCAUUCAGGCCCAUGGGGAGACAGAAACCAUGCCCCAGAAUUACUCAUCUGAGGAACAAGGUUCCACAACGUCCCCAGCAAGGCUGGCUGUUGAGAGCCUCUGGGCAUCCCUCUGGCUCCCUGAUGUUGUCUACAGUACUGCAGAAGGGACCCUGGCCACAAAGCGUGUGAGCCAGGCAGUUUUCAGUGACAAAACUGGAGCCAAUAAAUGUGUCCUAAAAUAGUCUCUCUUAAGUUCAGGUAUAGAGAGGGUAACACUAUGCAGUUUAGGCUGGCCAUGAAUUCAUGAUACGGGUGUUACAGGUAUGUGUCAUCAUGCCCAAACAAUCUAACAGUUUCAUAUAGACGGCUAUGCCCAUCUGAUAGAAAAACAUAGUUUUCAAUAAUUAUAAUAGUUUUAAAUUUUGACUAUAUACUAAGCAACAAAAUAAAACUAAAUUUUAAAGGGUUAUCAAUAUAUAGGAAAUUUCUUUGAAUAAGAAAAUAUUCAUUUCUAGCUAACUGUGGUGGGGGAUAGUGAAAAGC